CAUCUGGGUACUGUUUAUGAAUUGAUAGCGCACCUUGCUUAAAUCCUACUAACAAUUUUCUCAAGAAUUCAUACUAACAAGUGUCUUUGCUUUUUGUUUGAUGCAUUUAACAUGUUCAGGAAACAUGUUUCAAGGGCCUUGUUUGUCGAUCUGGAGCCCACUGUUAGUAGAUUAUGGCAGUAAAUCAUAAUAGGUCAUGUUGUUGGACGAGGGCGGGCUAGCGGAGGGCAUGUCGGCGGACGACGUGGAGGUCGUGUUCGGCUCCAUCGGCCGCAUUGCCGGCAUCGAGUUCGUGCGCACCAGCGGCCCUAGCUUCGCCUACGUCGGCUUCCACUGCCCCUCCCACAAGGUCAUGACGAAGCUCUCCACCUUGUUGUGGGUGCUGAUGGUUCCCCUGUCUUGGUUUCUUGGAAUGGCGAUUCAAGAAGGGGCAUCAUCGUGUGGAUGGACCAUAGGGCUCUUGACCAAGUCGAGUGAAUUAAUUCUCACAGUUCA